CACGCCGUAAACGAUGUCAACUAGCCGUUGGGAGCCUUGAGCUCUUAGUGGCGCAGCUAACGCAUUAAGUUGACCGCCUGGGGAGUACGGCCGCAAGGUUAAAACUCAAAUGAAUUGACGGGGGCCCGCACAAGCGGUGGAGCAUGUGGUUUAAUUCGAAGCAACGCGAAGAACCUUACCAGGCCUUGACAUCCAAUGAACUUUCUAGAGAUAGAUUGGUGCCUUCGGGAACAUUGAGACAGGUGC
rnacentral:rRNA from 2 species